rnacentral:rRNA from 1 species
AUUGAACGCUGGCGGAAUGCUUUACACAUGCAAGUCGAGCGGCAGCGCGGGGCAACCUGGCGGCGAGCGGCGAACGGGUGAGUAACACAUCGGAACGUACCCAAUCGUGGGGGAUAACUAUCCGAAAGGAUAGCUAAUACCGCAUAAGUCCUGAGGGAGAAAGCGGGGGAUCGCAAGACCUCGCGCGGAUGGAGCGGCCGAUGUCGGAUUAGCUAGUUGGUGGGGUAAAGGCCCACCAAGGCGACGAUCCGUAGCUGGUCUGAGAGGACGACCAGCCACACUGGAACUGAGACACGGUCCAGACUCCUACGGGAGGCAGCAGUGGGGAAUUUUGGACAAAUGGGGGGCAACCCUGAUCCAGCCAUUCCGCGUGAGUGAAGAAGGCC